UACGUAGGGUGCGAGCGUUAAUCGGAAUGACUGGGCGUAAAGGGUGCGCAGGCGGUUUUGUAAGUCUGACGUGAAAUCCCCGGGCUCAACCUGGGAAUUGCGUUGGAGACUGCAAGGCUAGAAUCUGGCAGAGGGGGGUAGAAUUCCACGUGUAGCAGUGAAAUGCGUAGAGAUGUGGAGGAACACCGAUGGCGAAGGCAGCCCCCUGGGUCAAGAUUGACGCUCAUGCACGAAAGCGUGGGGAGCAAACAGG
rnacentral:rRNA from 1 species